GAGGACUCUGGCCAACGUCCUCCGCCUCGCCCUCGCCUCCGGGAAAGAGCCCCCGCCGCCGCCUUAGUGUCACCAGGAAGGAAUCAGAGGCAGCCUGAAGAGACAGCCUCAGGAACAGAUGAAUCAAUGCAGGUGAAGCGGGAGAAUGAAUGGAUGUACACACAGCACUGUGGAAUAAGCUUAAAAACAUAGUAAUCCAUGAAAAGAUUGUUGGGAACAUUAUCCUGGCUGAGGAUGAGUAGUUGAUUAGGAGAUGCCAGUGGUGAUGAAGGCAUGGGGCCAAUCCCAGGGCAGAGUCAAGGAGCAGGAAAAGGAUUUAGGGCUGGCCAGAAGAAAUGAAGCAGGAGCCACUGCAUUCUGAAGGACUUUAUGGGGUCAGAUAUAGUGUAGAGAGAAGCAGAGGUGGGAGGUUCUGACUUGACCUUGCUUCCCUCCAAUCCACGGACAGUUCUUCCUGACUUCAGACUGACCAACAGGGGCCCAGGCCCUCCAUGAGCUUGCCUGUGGGCUCACAAUAGCAGCAGCUUCUUAUACACCACAGCUUCCCUGACCUCUCAACGGAUGUGCCUAGCUUGUUAGAUUUCCCUGAGAGAUCCAACUGUCUCCCCAUGCCAAUGCUUCCAGCAGACUGGCAGGGACUUUCCCUCUGGUCUUUCAACAGCCCCCUGCAUGCCUUCCCUCCCUCUGUUCCUACCACAAUUAUUUAAGGUCCACUUCCUAUAAAAACCCCUUAUCCCAUUAACAUUAAGGUGGUUCUAAUUCCCGACUCAUAUAUAUUUACUUAUUCACUUGCUGGCACGAGACCUGUGUUAGGUGAAGAAAAACCCAGGCCUGACCUGCAGAUGUUCUCUGUACUUGGCUUCAUUUGGAGAUGGUUGAUCUUGGUUCAGGCUCCUCUAUGAAAUUUCCACCAUAGCCAGACUGGCCUGUUAAAAUUCAGCUCUUUUACAUCACCCAGCAAAGUGCAAGGCAAAAAGAGGAAGAGGCCAAAGACCAGCAAGGAUCGAGGUCGCAGUUGGGUGAAUUUUUCCACUUCUACCUUCACUAGCACCCCUAAAAAGUUCUACUCCACUACAACACUCUGCAUGGUGCAUGCCAGCCAGUAGGCACACCUACUACUGCAUAGAGGAAAGACAUUUAAGUAACCAAAAAUCAAAAACUGUACAUCAUCUUCCAGUAAAACUACAGAAGGCUUUGAUGAUGUUAUCAACUGUGUUUUAGUUAAAGCAGUGUGUAUUUCAACCACCAGAGAGUCAAACAAUGGAAAAAUAUUCUCUCACCUUAGUCCCAUCUCCAAAUCUGACCCCUUAUUCCUGAAAUCUACAGUAGAGAACACAGAUCAGUGCAUAAUAAUGCUAAAACCAUGAGGCCUGGGUCUGAAGUACAGAGGAGUAGAGUAUUUGCUCUUUUCCAUGCCAUCUGCAAAGCCUGGUGCAGUGCCUGGCACAGAACGGGCACUCAUGACACACGUGCUUGGUGAACUCAUCAUGAGCAGCAAGGCUGGUGGUCUUGCUGAGUAUAAGUCAGAAGGUGACUCCAUAGUCCAACUAAUUCCAUUACAGCAGUUUGUCUCUUUGGUAGGUUCACUCAUUCUACAAGUAUAGUAGUUUAGUUCCUCCUAUGUGUGGGAUAUGCCUGGGAUCUUCUGUGGUCAAUUUCUGCCCUGUGCCCAUGUUACUCCAUGCUCCUGGGGUAUCCUUUCCGGGAGGCCCACUUCCUCUUUAGCCUAUGAAAUGCAUUCACCUGACACCAGUUGUCUAUUCUUAUUUUGCAACAACUUUUUGUUAACAUAAAUCGGGAAUAAGAGUCUACAUAAGUGAACUUCCCAGGCAACAGAAACUUACCCCUACUCCUUGAAAUAUCAUUUAAAUAAAAUUUGCCAUUUUGAUGGCAU